rnacentral:rRNA from 1 species
UACGUAGGGACCAAGCGUUGUUCGGAUUUACUGGGCGUAAAGGGUGCGUAGGCGGCGCGGUAAGUCGGGUGUGAAAUCUUGGAGCUUAACUCCGAAACUGCAUUCGAUACUGCCGUGCUUGAGGACUGGAGAGGAGACUGGAAUUUACGGUGUAGCGGUGAAAUGCGUAGAUAUCGUAAGGAAGACCAGUGGCGAAGGCGGGUCUCUGGACAGUUCCUGACGCUGAGGCGCGAAAGCGUGGGGAGCAAACAGG